ACGAUGUUCCGCUGUAGUUUAUGCUAUCAUGAGCAUCUG
rfam:Bacillus akibai JCM 9157 DNA, contig:contig_4.